ACACCAUUUUAUAUUUGACAAUGCUUUUUGUAUGAUUUUGUACCAGGAAAUACUUUACCGGCUCUCCCAGUGUUUUUUUUUCGUCGAUUUGGGCACAGAGUUUCCUGGUUCACGUGGAUGUGAGGAUCCUUUACUCCAGAUCGCCAGCCAGUUUUUGUUUUUUUUUUCCUGCGUUGCUGAGAGUCUGGGUUUAUUCAUCACACCAGGUGGAUCUUAAUUCCAUAUCCCUGAGGCCACUGCAAUGAGGCAGAGGAGUGUGCUCCCUCAUGAGAAAGGACUGGAGACCGCCCCCAGAAGAGAACGUAUCCAUGUACGGAUUUCCACCAAAAUUGUUAGAAAUGCUUGUUUCCCAGUGCCAUAAAGAAAUUUACUUGAACAUAAAUUUAAUUUCCUCAGCAAGGGCAUUUUUACUUUCUGCAGAAAGGGUACACUCGCCAGCUGUUCUGCC
rnacentral:lncRNA from 10 species